GCCACCUUGGCUCCUAAAGGCCAGAUUUAGAGGAAGAGGGGGGCAAGCUUUGCGUACCUCAUUCGCAACACAGCUGGGAGGAAAGCAAACUGCCUGAAAUGCAGCCUAAGAAUUCGGUGAAGAAGGGAGCGCAGCAGACAAACAGGCCAGGUGCCGGCGAUGCAAAUGAAAUGGAUGACAGAUGGCGAGUAGCACGCUCACUCACUGCGCCUGUAUAAUGGAUAGAGUGCUGACUGCUGUCAGAGUGAACGGUCCAGAUUCCCGUGUGCUGGUAUCCAUGGGCUUCGUCUUGCCAAGCUGCCAGUCUGGAGCGUCACACCUUACUGCCUUUAAAGAUUGCCCUGCAGAGAUAGAGGGAAAUGGCAAUUUUUACAUGAUGCAGUCUGGCGACCCAGGAGAUUUGAAGUCAGAACUGGUGCCAAGAUUUACCCAGGAGAGCAAGCAGAGGCAAAAACAGAGAACCUGGGCCAAAAGGAAAAAAAAUAAAUAAAAGAAGAAAGAAGAGGAAGGCUGGGGGAUGGGGAAACCACCAUCAACUCUCUCUGGGGGUUCUCUCCAAAGGCCGGAACUUGAGGCCACUGAGUGGGUGAUGGUCGUGUUAUUAGGAGUUUGUGGGUCCUAAAGAAAGUCAAAGGGAAGAGGUCGGCUUUUUUUGCAUGCCCUAAAUUGUAGUAGAUUGCAGAAUGUAAAUGAGACAAUUAUUACACCAACGCUCAUCAAGCUGGGCUGGAAAGACUUCAAUAGCCUGAUGAAUAUGCAUGCAAAUUUGUUAAUUAAGUUAAUUAUUCUGCUGAAAAUUCAUUUGUCUUCCAAGGACAUUUUCCCAAUGAUUUUAACAUGCUAGCGCCAUUAGUCAUGCUCUGUGCUAUUUAACAUUACUUUUUGUCCACUUUCUUUUCCCCCCACUUUUUUAAAAAAAUAUUUUCAAGUUUUAAAAACAAUUGAUUGGUUCUUUUAAUUGACCCCCACAAAGCUGGAAGAUGCCUAGAGCCAGCUCGGUAGGCAUUCUUGGAAGCACGUUUCAGUUAAAUAUUUCCUUGAUAUAUAAAAUGUCUGCAAAGUGUCACAUUGGUGGGGAGGAGAAGGACUCUAUCUGGGCUCAUUAAAGCCAGAAUUUGAAUCGUUCUCCAUA
ensembl:lncRNA